CCUACGGGAGGCAGCAGUGGGGAAUAUUGCACAAUGGGGGAAACCCUGAUGCAGCGACGCCGCGUGAGUGAAGAAGUAAUUCGUUAUGUAAAGCUCUAACAGCAGGGAAGAAAAUGACGGUACCUGAGUAAGAAGCCCCGGCUAACUACGUGCCAGCAUCCGCGGGAAAACGUAGGGGGCAAGCGUUAGCCUGAUUUCAGGGGUGUAAAGGGAGCGUAGACGGCAGUGCAAGUCUGGAGUGAAAGGCGGGGGCUCAACCCCCGGACUGCUCUGGAAACAGGACGGCUGGAGUGCAGGAGAGGUAAGUGGAAUUCCUAGUGUAGCGGUGAAAUGCGUAGAUAUUAGGAG
rnacentral:rRNA from 1 species